rnacentral:lncRNA from 1 species
GGGGUUUUACCAUGUUGCCCAGGCUGGGCUUGAACUCGUGGCCUCAAGUGAGCUGCCUACCUUGGCCUCCCAAAGUGCUGGGAUUACAAGUGUGAGCCACUGUGCCCAGCUCACACCUAUAAUCCCAGUCCCAGCAUUUUCUUUUUCUUUUUGAGACCCAGGUCUUGCUCUGUCACCCAGGCUAGAGUGCAGUAGCAGGAACAUAGUUCAGUCUGCAGCCUUCACUUCCUGGGCUCAAGUGAUUCUCCCUCCUCAGCCUCCCCAGUAGCUGGGACCACAGGCACGCACCACCAUGCUCAGCUAAUUUUUGUAUUUUUUUGUAGAGAUGGUAUCUCGCUGUGUGGCCCAGGCUGGUUUCAAACUCCUGGGUUCAAGAGACCCUCCUGCCUCAGCCUCCUAAAGAGCUGGGAUUGCAGGCGGGAGCCACCGCACCUGGCCUCAUUCAUUCAACAAGCAUCUACAGGCCGGGUGCGGUGGCUCACGCCUCUAAUCCCAGCACUUUGGGAGGCCGAGGCGGGUGGAUCACGAGGUCAGGAGAUCGAGACCAUCCU